rnacentral:rRNA from 1 species
AUUGAACGCUGGCGGCAUGCCUUACACAUGCAAGUCGAACGGUAACAGGUCUUCGGAUGCUGACGAGUGGCGAACGGGUGAGUAAUACAUCGGAACGUGCCUAGUAGUGGGGGAUAACUACUCGAAAGAGUGGCUAAUACCGCAUGAGAUCUACGGAUGAAAGCAGGGGAUCGCAAGACCUUGUGCUACUAGAGCGGCCGAUGGCAGAUUAGGUAGUUGGUGGGAUAAAAGCUUACCAAGCCGACGAUCUGUAGCUGGUCUGAGAGGACGAUCAGCCACACUGGGACUGGGAAACGGUCCCGACGCCUAAGGGAGGCAGGAGUGGGGAAUUUUGGAAAAGGGGCGAAAGCCUGAUCCAGCAAUGCCCCGUGCAGGAUGAAGGCCUUCGGGUUGUAAACUGCUUUUGUACGGAACGAAAAGCCCCGGGUUAAUACCCUGGGGUCAUGACGGUACCGGAAGAAUAAGCACCGGCUAAAUACGUGCCAGCCGCCGCCGUAA